UACGUAGGGCGCAAGCGUUGUCCGGAAUUAUUGGGCGUAAAGAGCUCGUAGGCGGCUUGUCACGUCGGAUGUGAAAGCCCGGGGCUUAACCCCGGGUCUGCAUUCGAUACGGGCAGGCUAGAGUUCGGUAGGGGAGAUCGGAAUUCCUGGUGUAGCGGUGAAAUGACGCAGAUAUCAGGAGGAACACCGGUGGCGAAGGCGGAUCUCUGGGCCGAUACUGACGCUGAGGAGCGAAAGCGUGGGGAGCGAACAGG
rnacentral:rRNA from 1 species